rnacentral:tmRNA from 1 species
GGGGAUGUUACGGAUUCGACAGGCAUAGUUGAGCUUGAAUUGCGCUUCGUAGGUUACGUCUACGCUAAAACGUUACAGUUAAAUAUAACUGCUAAAAACAAUAAUAACACUUACGCUUUAGCUGCCUAAAAACAGUUAGCGUAGAUCCUCUCGGUAUCGCCCAUGUGCUCGAGUAAGGGUCUCAAACUUAGUGGGAUACGCUAAAUUUUUCCGUCUGUAAAAUUUAGAAGAGCUCAUCAGACUAGCAAUGUUUGACGCCAGUCAUGCGGCAGACAACAAAGCGAAUCUUUAAUUGUAUGACUAUGAGCGUAGAAAUUGAAGUGGCAAUAUGUUUGGACGCGGGUUCGACUCCCGCCAUCUCCAUAC